ACGCUCGACACCUACGGGAGGCAGCAGUGGGGAAUAUUGCACAAUGGGGGAAACCCUGAUGCAGCGACGCCGCGUGGAGGAAGAAGGUCUUCGGAUUGUAAACUCCUGUUGUUGGGAAAAGAGGAUGGUACCCAACAAGGAAGUGACGGCUAACUACGUGCCAUCAGCCGCGGUAAUCUGAGCGGGCUGGCAAGGC
rnacentral:rRNA from 1 species